rnacentral:rRNA from 1 species
UACGAAGGGGGCGAGCGUUGUUCGGAUUUACUGGGCGUAAAGGGCUCGUAGGCGGCCAACUAAGUCAGACGUGAAAUCCCCAGGCUCAACCUGGGAACUGCGUCUGAUACUGGAUGGCUUGAAUCCGGGAGAGGGAUGCAGAAUUCCAGGUGUAGCGGUGAAAUGCGUAGAUAUCUGGAGGAAUACCGGUGGCGAAGGCGGCAUCCUGGACCGGCAUUGACGCUGAGGAGCGAAAGCCAGGGGAGCAAACG